CUGUGCUAAGUGGGGAGCUAGCGGUGCCCUGAACCUGCAAUCCGCUAUAGCAGGACCGAAAAUUUCUCGCGGCGCAUCUUAUGGAAAGCUGGAGUAUGUAAGGAGCGUUGAUAUCGGGGUCUUAUGCAAUGACAAACCGCGAACCGCGUCAGGGCGGGAACGCAGCAGCGCUAAACGGAACUUGUUAUGUGCCAUAAGGAAGCUUCGAAGGAGCCGCCUGCAUAAAUACCGUUUCGGUAAGGUGUGUCAACAGAAAUUGCACAG
rnacentral:SRP_RNA from 1 species